rnacentral:rRNA from 1 species
UACGGAAGGCAGCAGUGGGGAAUAUUGCACAAUGGGCGAAAGCCUGAUGCAGCUAUGCCGCGUGUAUGAAGAAGGCCUUAGGGUUGUAAAGUACUUUCAUCGGGGAGGAAAAAACAAAACUAAUAAUUUUAUUUCUUGACGUUACCCGAAAAAGAAGCACCGGCUAACUCCGUGCCAGCAGCCGCGGUAAUACGGAGGGUGCUAGCGUUAAUCAGAAUUACUGGGCGUAAAGAGCACGUAGGUGGUUUUUUUAAGUCAGAUGUGAAAUCCCUGGGCUUAACCUAGGAACUGCAUUUUGAAACUGAAAUACUAGAGUAUCGUAGAGGGAGGUAGAAUUCUAGGUGUAGCGGUGAAAUGCGUAGAUAUCUGGAGGAAUACCUGUGGCGAAAGCGGCCUCCUAAACGAAUACUGACACUGAGGUGACGAAAGCGUGGGGAGCAAACAGGAUUAGACUACC